rnacentral:rRNA from 4 species
UUAGUAACGGCGAGUGAAGCGGCAACAGCUCAAAUUUGAAAUCUGGCCCUCGGGUCCGAAUUGUAAUUUGUAGAGGAUGAUUUUGGUGCGGUAUCUUCCGAGUUCCUUGGAACAGGACGCCUUAGAGGGUGAGAGCCCCGUACGGUUGAAUGCCUAGCCUCUGUAAAUCUCCUUCGACGAGUCGAGUAGUUUGGGAAUGCUGCUCUAAAUGGGAGGUAAAUUUCUUCUAAAGCUAAAUAUUGGCCAGAGACCGAUAGCGCACAAGUAGAGUGAUCGAAAGAUGAAAAGCACUUUGAAAAGAGGGUUAAAUAGCACGUGAAAUUGUUGAAAGGGAAGGAUUUGUGACCAGACUUUUUCUGGGCGGAUCAUCCGGGGUUCUCUCCGGUGCACUUUGCCCAGUAAAGGCCAGCAUCGAUUUUCGGCGGCGGAUAAAAGCAGUGGGAAUGUGGCUCCUUACGGGGAGUGUUAUAGCCCAUUGUAUAAUACGCUGCUGGGGAUCGAGGUACGCGCUUCUGCAAGGAUGCUGGCGUAAUGGUUAUCAAUCACCCGUCUUGAAACACGGACCAAGGAGUCGAACAUUUAUGCGAGUGUUUGGGUGUUAAACCCUCACGCGUAAUGAAAGUGAACGGAGGUGAGAGCCUGUAUGGGUGCAUCAUCGACCGAUCCUGAAGUUUUCGGAUGGAUUUGAGUAAGAGCAUAACUGUUCGGACCCGAAAGAUGGUGAACUAUGCGUGGAUAGGGUGAAGCCAGAGGAAACUCUGGUGGAGGCUCGCAGCGGUUCUGACGUGCAAAUCGAUCGUCAAAUCUGCGCAU